CCUGACGGGAAAAGGAACUUUGACAUAGUUGUUCCAGGUGUUGCUCACAACCGCAUGGCCAAUGGCAUCCUGGGCCUCCUCUGCAAGCGACACUACCCAGGCGCCAUGGAUAUUGCUGGGGUACGUCAGCCAGCCUCUUCGUGGGAGCACUACAUCGCCGCACCGGAUGGACCAGAUGAGGAAGGCAGGGCAUUUGACAACAAGGCGCACCGGGUGUUGAACGAAUUAUGGGAUUUCUACAGAUGCGAGGAGGGAAUGAUGCC